rnacentral:hammerhead_ribozyme from 1 species
ACACUACUGAGGAGUCCCACGACAGGAUGAAACGGCCGUUCAGUGU